rnacentral:misc_RNA from 1 species
GUUAGGUUAGACUAGGUUGGGUUAUCAGUCGGAAAAAAUACAUGCUGAGAGUUCCUUCGUGUAAGCAUUGUUAGAAAAUUGUAUUCAUGAGAGCAAAAUGUUGACUCCGCGCUUUGAAAUUACGCAAACUGACGCAGAAGUCGUGAUAACAAUACACGCUCCGUACGCCAAUAUAAAAGAUGCAGAGGUAUACGUUGAGGAAACAGAUGUCAGGUUUUAUGCCACUCCGUAUUACUUGAGAUUACAGUUACCAGGUGAAAUAGAGGAGGAUAAUUCGUCUUCUGGUUCUUAUGAUUAUGAAAAGGGUGAUUUUAUUUUACACUUCUCUAAAGUGAAUAAAGGAGAACACUUUGAAAACUUGGAUAUGAUAACUGUUCUUUUAGCGCCACCAAAAAAGAAAAGUACUGUUAUUCCUAAUAUUGAAGUAAUUGGUAAUCCAUCUGCAAAUUCAGCAAACAUUGACGACAGUUUAAAUGAUAAUGAUGUUACAAAUAACGAUGAUUCUGAAGAUAACUGGUUUAUACCUCAGAAUAAUCCAUCAGAAAAUGUCACAAUUCUUAUAAACUCUCCAAAGUAUGGUUUUGCAAACAAAAUAUCCGGAGCUUUAACUGCUUUCGAGACAGCAUGGAUUAAGGAAAUAAUAGAUCUUCCUAACCCUGAUACAACUCCUGAAACAGAAAGAAAAAGUUUGCAAGAAAAACGCGAAUUGACAGAUUUCAAUGAAGAACAUUAUAUGGCAGAUCUUAUGGAGCCAGAAUGCAUCGAAUCAUAUAUAACAUAUACGGCAGAUUGGGACAUAAUGGGGCUAGAGAAAGAUAAAGUCACAUUUAGUGAAGCUGAGAUUGAUUUAUUAAAAGAACUUCCAAAUAAGGAAUAUUUAUUAGAUGCUGAAGAUAUUAAAAAAUUAUCUUUAAAUCUUAUUGAUAUUUUAUAUGCCAGUUGUUACAACCAUCGAACAACAUUAGGAGAAAAUACUGUAGAAAGCAGUUGGACCAUUAAUAAACUAAGCUCUACAUUAUGUUGGUUCCGAAAUUUUACUUCUGUGGAUGAAAUUAUUAUUGCUUGCUUUCGAAGAUCACUUUGUUACCCACUUUACAGAAAUUGGAACCUUUCUAUGAAAGUUUUUGAGGAUGUUAAAAAAGUCAUAACAUUAGGAAAAAAAUACAUUAUCAAAAUCUUCUGCGAGAUACAUAGCCUAUUCAACAAUUCAUAUGAACCAAGAUACAUAUUAAAUCAAUUAUAUAUAAAAGAUUUUUUAAUUUGGUUACAAGCAUCUCCAGAAUCCUUGAUAGAAUCGCUUCAGUCUAUGUUAAAGGAUAUUCAUCCAAGUAAAGCAAGUAUGGGAUUAGAUUUAGUAGAACUGGAAGUGGCAGCUUAUUCUGUUCAAGAAGAAGGAUUAGUUAUAGAAAAUGCUGUUCAUGAGAUGGUUGGACAAAUCGAUGAAUUAUGUUUGAAUAAUGAUUCUGAGAAAGAAAAGCCAAAGAAUAUAUAUCAUGAUAACAAACAAUUUUUUAAGCAUUUGUUAUUGAACAAUACAAGUUCAACGAAUAGCAGCGAUACAGAUUCUGAAACAGAUUCUGAAAGCAGUACUACAUCAAGUAGCAGUACUACUAGCAGUAGUAGCAGUCUGGAUUCUGAUGAUUUAGAUGAAUCUUGAAUAAAGUGACAAAACUAAUCCUUUUUGAGGAGUAGUCUACAUUUUUCGUUUGUAAUAUAAGACGCAAAGGAUUGAAGCUGGGAUAAUUUUAUAUAAUGCCGAUAUAUCAUAAUAAAAAUCGACGCUGAAUUUAUUUGCGCUAAUGAAAUUGUAUUCGACGAGACAAAUUGCUGACUGCAGGCACAAAUACGCGCUCGCCAACUCAAGAAACUCGACCGAACAGAGGCUCCCUUGUUCUCUCUUGUCUUCAUUCGCGUCGUGCUCUUUUAACGCGAUUUUCUGCCACUUUCUCAGUAGAGCCUCGUCUCUCUUAUGUGCGACCGGCUUUCGUAAUCAAGUGCACACGCGAAUAAUUAACGUAAUUAACGAUAAACUCUCGACUUCACGUUCUCGCUACAUCUGAAUUUUCUUUCCGCUUGUGGUCGUAAAAGUGUCGUGUUUGAUCCCCGAAACAAAUCGCUAAAGAUCAUCUCUGUUAGAUACACGAGAAGAAGAGCAAAAAUGUACGAUUUU